GGAGAGGUGCCAGAGUGGACGAUCGGGACUGUCUCGAAAACAGUUGUACCCUCCGGGGUACCGUGGGUUCGAAUCCCACCCUCUCCGCCA
rnacentral:tRNA from 2 species